AGGAUACCAGUUAAACACUUUAAUUUCAUCAUUCCUGAAGAGAUACUGUCCAAAUGAUAGUCAAUCAUUGGGUACAGCUUUCCCAUAUUCCACAGUAUGAAUGAUGUCAUGAAGCCAGUAAAGAAGGCCUCAGUUUUCAUCAGCUAGAAUACCUCCAUAUUUACCUCCAUAGUUCUCAAGAUGUAUCUUAAUAGCUAAAGUCAUAAUAGCUUUUGAAUGAUAAAUGUAUUAUUAAUAGAAUUUUAAUAAUAGAAAAAAAGUAUGGGGUGAGAAUAAGAGAUGGGUAACAGGGACAUAAGUUGAAAGUAUAAUAAUAAAGUAUAGUCAUUAGAAUUAUUGCAUAGUAUUAGCAAGUAUAUACCUGAAGUCUGUGUGUGUGUAUAUAUAUAGUUUUAUUUUUAAUUCACUUCAAUGAAUAUGAUAGACGGAUACAAACUGGUCAUGAAAUGAAGGCAAAUUAUCUGGAUAAAUAAGUACAUGUUCCGGAAUGAGGUUCUAUUCACCUUCAAUCAGUAUAAAGCAUGUGCUGGACAAAUAAAUGUGC